rnacentral:rRNA from 1 species
UAGGGAAUAUUGCACAAUGGGGGAAACCCUGAUGCAGCGACGCCGCGUGAGUGAUGAAGGCCUUCGGGUCGUAAAGCUCUGUUCUACGGGACGAAAAAAAUGACGGUACCGUAGAAGAAAGGACCGGCUAACUUCGUGCCAGCAGCCGCGGUAAUACGAGGGGUCCUAGCGUUGUUCGGAAUCAUUGGGCGUAAAGAGUCUGUAGGCGGCCAUGUAAGUCAGGUGUGAAAGCCCCGGGCUCAACCCGGGAAGUGCAUCUGAUACUGCUUGGCUUGAAUGUUGGAGAGGGUAGUAGAAUUCCUGGUGUAGUGGUGAAAUACGUAGAUAUCAGGAGGAAUACCGGUGGCGAAGGCGGCUACCUGGCCAAACAUUGACGCUGAGAGACGAAAGCGUGGGGAGC